CUACUCAACAGGUAGUACCUAGAUAUACUAAAACUGGAAUGAUACAGAGAAAAUUAACAUGGCACUGUACAAGGAUGACAUGCACAUUCAUGAACUGUUCCAUAUUUUA
ensembl:snRNA U6 U6 spliceosomal RNA